rfam:Sugiyamaella lignohabitans strain CBS 10342 chromosome A, complete sequence.
GCGUUAAUGGUUUAGUGGUAAAAUUCAUCGUUGCCAUCGAUGAGCCCCCGGUUCGAUUCCGGGUUAACGCA